GGAGAUCUUCCUCCGAGAACUCAUCAGCAACUCCUCUGAUGUAUGAUUGCUUUCUCCAAUUCUACAAUAUUUGCUGAAUUCUUUUCUUUGUUUUAUGAUUCUGACUGGAUUUUGGGGUUGUGGAUUCGUUGGGGUUUUGUAGGCGUUGGACAAGAUUCGGUAUGAGAGCCUGACGGACAAGAGCAAGCUGGACGCCCAGCCGGAGCUGUUCAUCCGGCUGGUGCCGGAUAAGGCCAACAAGACGCUCUCCAUCAUCGACAGUGGGGUCGGCAUGACCAAAGCCGGUAAGAUGCUGUCAGCUCUACACCCUAUGUUCUGUUCUUUUUAAUGCGCUUAUUUUGGUUGAAUUUACGAUUUCUGUGGUAUUUUCUGGGUUCCAAUCUGGUUGUUUCCUUUGGGUUCAUGUAUGAUGUGUACUUAUAACUUUCCAUACGAAGGAUUAGCUGAAUUAUGCUUGUGAAAUCAAAUUAAUCCUGACUUAUAUGAUUGAUAAGUUUUGUAAUUAUUGUUUUAGGAAUGUAAAUGGAUUUUUGAUGUAACACUCAUGAAUUGUGCCAGUUAAUUAUAAAUGGACUUCUUGUUGGAAUUGUUUGUUAUUGCUGUUCCUCUUGUGCGGUUUGCUUUUUCUUCUUCUUUUCUUCUUUUUUUUUUCCCUUUUUCUUUCUCAUGAUUUGAUAUGUGCGUAUAUCGAUGGAUCGGGAAUUAACGCUUAAGCUUUUUGAAAAUUAUUCUUAUUUUUGGGGUUUUUGAUAAAUUCUCAGCAUUAUACAAUUGAUUGAAUCAUAAGGUUGUGCCUCCAGAUUUUUCUAGCCAAGUCAUUCUAAACUUGUGAGAGUGGUGAAAUUGAGUUGUUGUUUAGCUGGUUUUCGAAAAUGUCUUUCAUGUUAUGUAAAACAGAGCAAACCAAGAAGCAUAUGAAAAUAAUGAGUUUUGCAUGCAUUGUUCUACCAUUUUCCAUUUAGUCUGGUGUGUUACUCUGAUGGAUUCCGUAACCAAGAGAAGCUAUAUUAAUUGACAUUAAAGUGCAUUAUAUCGUUGAAUAAUACAUGCAGCAGAAAAAUAGUUUACUGAAUUUUAUGGGAUGCUGUUGUACUUUGCUCUGAUUAUGAUAUGCUAAUUGGAUAAAUGGCUUGUGGAUUGAUUGAUGGUAUCAUCAACCUUCUCACUUUUGGGUUUGUCUGGUGCUAGACCUUGUGAACAAUUUGGGCACCAUUGCAAGGUCCGGAACCAAGGAGUUCAUGGAAGCAUUACAAGCUGGUGCUGAUGUGAGCAUGAUUGGUCAAUUUGGUGUUGGGUUCUACUCUGCUUACUUGGUUGCUGAGAAGGUUGUUGUCACAACCAAGCACAACGAUGAUGAGCAGUACAUUUGGGAGUCUCAGGCUGGUGGUUCCUUCACUGUCACCAGGGAUGUGAGUGGCGAGCAGCUUGGCAGGGGAACCAAGAUCACCCUCUACCUCAAGGAAGACCAGGUAAAAGACAAGUCCCUUUCUUUCUUAUCUCCAUGUAUCGACCCUUCUUUAUCUAUAUUUUGGUGAUCAUCAUUAUUUAAUGAUAAUGAUAAAUUUCCCUGCAGCUUGAAUACUUGGAAGAGAGGAGGCUUAAGGAUCUGGUUAAGAAGCACUCUGAGUUCAUUAGCUACCCUAUCUACCUCUGGACGGAGAAGACGACGGAGAAGGAGAUUAGCGAUGAUGAGGAUGAGGAAACCAAGAAGGAACAGGAAGGUGAUGUUGAAGAGGUUGAUGAGGAAAAGGAGACCAAAUCUAAGAAGAAGAAAGUGAAGGAGGUCUCACAUGAGUGGUCCCUUGUCAACAAGCAGAAGCCCAUCUGGCUACGCAAGCCUGAGGAGAUCACCAAGGAGGAAUAUGCCUCCUUCUACAAGAGCUUGACUAAUGACUGGGAGGACCACCUCGCCGUCAAGCACUUCUCGGUUGAGGGGCAACUUGAGUUCAAGGCUAUCCUCUUCGUGCCGAGGAGGGCUCCUUUUGACCUUUUCGACACGAGGAAGAAGAUGAACAACAUCAAGCUCUACGUCCGGAGGGUAUUCAUCAUGGACAAUUGUGAGGAGCUCAUCCCAGAGUAUCUUGGAUUUGUGAAAGGUGUCGUGGAUUCAGAUGAUCUCCCUCUCAACAUCUCCCGUGAAAUGCUUCAGCAGAACAAGAUUCUGAAGGUUAUCCGGAAGAACCUGGUGAAGAAGUGCAUUGAACUCUUCACCGAGAUUGCUGAGAAUAAGGAAGACUACAACAAGUUCUAUGAGGCCUUCUCAAAGAACCUGAAGCUGGGUAUCCAUGAGGACAGCCAGAACAGGGCUAAGCUGGCAGAUCUCCUCCGCUUCCACUCCACAAAGAGUGGUGAUGAGAUGACCAGCUUGAAAGACUAUGUGACCAGGAUGAAGGAGGGGCAGAAGGACAUCUACUACAUUACCGGUGAAAGCAAGAAGGCUGUCGAGAACUCUCCCUUCUUGGAGAAGCUCAAGAAGAAGGGCUAUGAAGUCCUGUUCAUGGUGGAUGCCAUUGAUGAGUAUGCAGUUGGGCAGCUCAAGGAAUAUGAUGGCAAGAAGCUUGUCUCAGCAACAAAGGAAGGUCUCAAGCUUGAGGAGAGUGAGGAUGAGAAGAAGAAAAAGGAGGAAAAAAAGGCUGCUUUCGAGAGCCUUUGCAAGGUCAUGAAGGACAUUUUGGGCGACAAGGUUGAGAAGGUGGUGGUGUCGGAUAGAAUUGUAGAUUCCCCUUGCUGCUUGGUUACUGGUGAGUAUGGAUGGACCGCCAACAUGGAGAGGAUUAUGAAGGCUCAGGCCUUGAGGGACAAUGGCAUGAGCUCAUACAUGUCGAGCAAGAAGACAAUGGAGAUCAACCCGGAGAAUGGAAUCAUGGAGGAGCUGAGGAAGAGGGCAGAAGCUGACAAGAACGACAAGUCGGUGAAGGACCUGGUGCUGCUUCUGUUUGAGACUGCCCUCCUGACAUCUGGGUUCAGUUUGGAGGAUCCCAACACCUUUGCUGGGAGGAUUCACCGAAUGUUGAAGCUGGGCUUGAGCAUUGAUGAAGAUGAAGCGGCCGGCGACGGCGAUACCGAUUUGCCUGAUCUGGAGGAGGAUGGCAACGAGGAGAGCAAGAUGGAAGAGGUCGAUUAGGAAUUUGAGGUUUUCAUACCACAGAUGUUUGAUAAUGUGUCUUUAGGUGAAGGAUCUGAAUCAGGUUAAAUUAGGUGUUAUCUGAGUCGUCCCCUCUGUGUUUUCUUUCCCUUCUCUUCUUUGUUGUUUCUUAGAAUGUGCGCUGCUGAUGUAAGUUUUGGUUGCGUUGUGCAUUUGGACCGAUGAGGUAAUGAUCAUAUUUUUCUGUAAUAUGCUUCUGGAUUCCUCUUAACUUCUCAUGCUCGAAGCUUUUCAAUUUUACUAUUUUUGUUGUUUCUGCGAGUAGCUGCAAUGUGUUGGAAUGCUGUAGAACAGGUUUCUCUGAACAAUUAAUCUGCAGGCUUUAAGUGGAUCAAAGAGAAGAAAAACAAAAGAUGGAAAACGUACUGUGGAGGGUUGUGCAUCUGGCAAGUAAUAGUUGUAAUUUCUCGCAAUGAUGCAUUUGGGGUUCCUCCUCCUUCUUCCACCCAGUGGUCGAAGAAUUCUGCAUCCGUGCCUGAUAUUAUUUGACACUCUUUUCAUAGCAUUAAAUUUAAAUCACUUGGAUGACAGCUCUGGAUAAUUCAUUUAGAGAUUUGAAGUUAUCAAGUUGCAGGAGUUGUUUCUCGAGCAAAGUAGUUACUCAGUCCAUGCAUAGCGUGUGGAUCGACCCAUUCAUUGGCAUUCUCUAUAGUUAAAACAUCAUGCCGUACUCUUAAACCGUUUGUAUGUAUGUAGGACCUCAAGGCAGCAGAAAGUGAAUAUUAUAAUGUUGGGCAAAGCUGAUACUUUAUGUCAGGGUAAUUAUAAUCAAACCACAAUCUAAUUCAUAAUUGUCAUAAUUUUGAGUCAAACUUGCAAUAAAACUAAUGCUGUAAGCUUGUGCAUCUACUUUUAAGUUAUUUGUUUGGUUCUCUUUUGUUGGUUUAACAGGUGAAUCUUAAUUACAAUUCUCAAUAUCAGAUCUGAAGAUAACUGCUAUCAUCAGAUGUUUGACAGCCGUGGUCUUAAAGGUGAGUCCAUCAUCCGGUGGGUAAGAUUUGGUGAAUUGGUUGAACCCUUCAGUUGUAGCAUCAGAAUUUGGUUGACAUCCAGUGUUGCUGUGAUUUUUCCUGUGUACCGAAAUUUAUGGAUAAGUUUUAGAUCGAGAAUUCAGUCGUCUGUGAUUUUUCUGGGGAAUGAAUUGGUGCACGGAGCUUGUUUUUUUUUUUUUUUUUUGGUCAAAUCGGCAUUUUAUUUCAUAUAACUCUAGCGUGAAUACAAUCCUCCGGGUCAAGUGAAAAUAAACAGUACAACGAGUAUGAAAUGUAUGCUAAACUUGUCCAAAUGACCUCUCUGGAAUGCCGGACAAUAUAAGUGGCGACCAGUUUGCUGCACUGUUCGCCUCCCGAUACACAUGAGCUAUUUAACAAGAGGUCAGCUCCCGCACCAACCUAUGGGUGUCCUGUAUCAAUAGGUGACUAUCCCCAUACCUGUCUGCUCUCCGGAUCCAGUCAAUCACUGUGGAGGAAUUACACUCGAGAAAUAGGCUGUCAGCCUCCAACACCCGUCUCGCAUACAAAAUAUCCUUCGAGGAUGCCCGUAGCUCCGCUCCCACUGUGGUCAGACUUGGUGUGCUCCCCCAUCCGGCUGCAAUAAAUCUACCACUAUCGUCCCUGAUCACAUCACCUACACCUUCAGAGGCACCAUCUCCCGCCAUGCCUUUAUCAAAAUUUACCUUAAGAUAACCAGAAGGUGGGGGUACCCAAGAGAAAUAAAUAAACCUGGAUGCUGAGACAGCGGUACAGGUACCCCAGAUAUCCUUGGCCCUCCCAAGUAAGAUCAAUGUGGCCAACAUAGUAACCUUCGUUGUACGCCGCAGGGCUCUGUCCAUCACAACCCGUGGGGACGACCUCCUGCCCUCAAACAGAUGGUUGUUCCUGUCCAGCCAUAUAUGAUAGGCCAAGUAAGCAACCACGAUCCCCGUUUCUACAAUGCUAGGCCUUUAGAGGGAAUCGCUCAGAUACCGAAGCAACUCCUCCACCAACUCCCACAGCAAAGAGAGUGGCAUAGGUGAAUAUCUCCAGAUCCACAUAGCUGUAGGGAACUGAAGAAGUACAUGAUUGAUGAUCUCCUCAGCGUUCGGACAUACCUCACAUAGCAAAGUCAUCCGCAUCUCCCGCCUGGCAAACACACUCCUAGUCGGUAGGCAGCCCCAAGCCACCUUCCAAAGGAAAAAUGCUACUCGGGGAUGCACUUUCAUCCUCCAGAUCCAUCCACCCUCAAUCUACUUGUCUGGCUCCCUGCUGGUCCAAGCAUAAAGAUCUCUGGCACGUACCCUCAACCGGCCUGAUGGCAUCCAAACCAAUCUAUCUAGCUCCACCCGUGAAGAAAUCGGUAAGGCCAAAAUCCUCUCUACCAAUUGCUCCCCAAAAGCCUCCCGGAUCAUACCCUCAUUCCAUCUUUCCUUACCGAAAACUAGCAAGUCGCAUAUCCUGUGUCCCACCAACCUGCUCGAGUCCACCAUCGUCGGUAAUCUACUGAUCGAUAACUCAAUCACCCAGCUAUCCUCAAGAACAUCAAUAGAAGUCCCGUCCCCAAUAGCCCAUUAGAUCGCCGAGAGCACCAAUGGAGCUCUAACACAAAUUUCCCUCCAAAUAGGGGAGUGAUGACGUCCUGCCCGGACAUCAGCCGACAAGGUGCCAUACUUGGCCCUCAUCAAGGAGGACCAUAUACUAUUGGGCUCCAACAAGAAACUGGCUGCGAGCCGCAUCGCCGAUGCCUCCCGUCUCACCACUAGUGAUGGCACUCCCAAUCCACCAUACCUGACCGGCUGACAAACCACCUCCCAUACCACCAGAUGGAUACUGCCUCUGUCACCAUGCCUCCCUCAGAUAAAAUUUCUGAUGAGCUGCUCAACUGACCUCAACGAUGCCACGGGAAGAAUGAAGUUGGACAGAAGAUAUAUCGGAAUGGAAUUAAGCACUGACCGCGCCAGGGUGACCCUGCCCAUUAUGGAUAGUGUAUGCAUCUGCCACUCUUCAAUCCUAUAUCUAAUACUAAGUUCAAGAGAAGAGCAAUCCCUUAUACGCAGAUGUUGUCCCAGGAUCGGAACUCUUAAGUAUCCCAGAGGACUCUCCUGCUUGCCUACACCCAUAAUCUCCAUGAUCUCGGCCUUCUCAUGAGGCUUGGUCUUCGGGCUGAAGAAGAUUGUAGACUCGGCUAAGUUGACCUAUUAGCUAGAGCAGCACAGUAGACUUGAAAGAUCCUCCUAAUCACAUGGGCGGCCUGCCUAGUCACCCGAGAUAGCAACAAGCAAUCAUCAGCAAAUGGGAGAUCGACAUAGCCCCCUACACUAGCCUAUAAACCUCCAGAGUCUGAGAGCCCACGGCAUGCCUAGAUAACGCAUCUGCACAAAUAAUAAAGAGCAAGGGGGACAAAGGACACCCCUAGCGAAGCCCAACAGAUGAGUCAAAGAAAUGAGAGGGCGCACCGUUUACCAAAAUGGAAAAGGAAGGACCCCCAACACAUCCCAUGACCCAUUUGAUCCAAAUCUCGUGGAAGCCGAAGCUAUGAAGAGAAAGUCGAAUAAAAUCCCAACACAUCCUGUCGUAUGCCCUCUCCAUAUCAAGCUUGACCCCCAUAAGGUAUCUCCUCAUCGGGGUCCUAUUGAGAUCAAACAUAAACUCCUGGGCAAUUAGAACAUUGUCUAAUAUACUCCUCCCCCUAUAACUGCUCUGGACUAAUAAUCCUGGAUAAAAUGUCCCUUAGUUUAGUUGCCAAAAUCUUCGCCGUAGCCUUGUACAAUGUGGUGCACAGGCUGAUCGGCCGAAAGUUGCCCAACUCGGUAGCAUCCUAACGCUUGGGGAUCAAGGUAACAAAAGUACUCUGCCACUCCGAAGACAUCACAGUUAUGCUGAAAACUGUUGGAUGGCCUCAAUCACAUUUGCCCAAUUAUUAUCCAAUACCUGCAAAAGAAUACUUGUGGAAAGCCAUCCGGCCUGGGUGCCUUGUCCCCUGCCAAGGACCACACCGCCUCCUGGAUCUCCCUCCCCGACACGGGCCUAAUCAAUGCUGAGGUCUCCUCAUCUAAAACUCCCUCUGAUGGCAUGGGUAGAUCAACAGGUAUCCUACUCUCCGUCCGCUCGAUCCAUCUAGCCCUGAAGAACUGCUCCAACACCCUGCAUCUUGUAUUCGGAUCCUUCGAGAUAUGUCCAUCCUCUUUGCUGAUAGCUCUGAUCCUACUCCGCUGCCUCCUGAUGAAUGUCGACUGGUGAAAAAAUUUAGUGUUCCUAUCCUCCUCAAGAAUCCACUGUACUCUUGACUUCUGCCUCCAAAAGAUCUCCUGUUGAUGAAGGAAAGAGUCAUGCAUGGCUAGGAGUGAUCUAAGCAUUGACAAUUCAUCUGUCGAUAAUCCUCCCCUCGAAGUCUCCUGUGAAGCUUGGCCCCGUGAAGCCCAAAUCAAUCAAUUCGUUGCUGUUAUGAACUCCUGAAAUUUCCUCACCUUCCUUUUGUAGGAGAAAGCCUUCCCCCCCCAUCUUUUCCUGUGGGCCAUCUAUAUAGUUAAAAUCACCUGGCACUGGUUGUCGCUAGUCAACCAACUUGCAUGCCUCCUCCCACAAUAUCCUCCGCUUCCUGAACUCUGUGCUGGCAUAACUGCUACUAAUAGCCAUGGCCUUCCGCUGUCCUCCGAAAUCACCAUUAUCACCUCUUGGUUGCAUACAUUAAAUAUGUCCAUCUUACAACAUUCCAAUUUUCAAGUAACAAUAAUGACUUCAGAUAGCCCUUGGGAUUCCAUAGCAUAGAACCCCCAUGAUCUCGGCAAAGCCCUCCUGGCUCUUAUAAUACUCCUCCUGGCUAACUGGGUCUCAAACAACAUGCAAAUAUUCGGGUUAUAUUGCUGCACCAACCUAUGAAAAGCCGAGGCAAAGGUAGGUUUUCCCGCCCUCCGGCAAUUCCAAAGGAUAAUCUUCAUAGAUAACCCGACUUACUGGCCCAACCCUCUCCCUCAGAGCCGACCCCACUGUGCUCAGCCAGGCCACUUUCACUAUACUACAGGAAAAAGGGAAAAAGCCGACGCUUAAAUGCCGACGCUAGGAAAAAGCGUCGGUAAGUUUUGCUCCCCACCAAAUUUUGCCGACGCUUUUUAUGAGUGUGGCAAUUUGAAAUAGUGGACGAUGCUUAAAAGCGUUGUUGUAGACCCCCAACUAAACGGCGCUUAAAAGCAUCGUUUUUUCGACUAAUACGACGCACUUAAGCGUCGUUGAAGGAAAAGCCUAAAACGACGCUUACAAGUGUCGGCGAAGGCGAAGUCCCCCUCCAAACCCAGUGACCGAACUCGAGCUCGCAUAUUUGCCCUAGCUACUCCCCGAGCCUCAUCUUCAUCCUCUCCGACCGACCCUGAGCUCGCAUAUUUGCCCUAGCUACUCUCCGAGCCUCGUCUUCCUCCUCUCCGGCGCUGCCCUGGCCCUCAUCUUCCUCCUCU
rnacentral:lncRNA from 1 species